rnacentral:rRNA from 1 species
UGCCAGACUCCUACGGGAGGCAGCAGUGGGGAAUAUUGCACAAUGGGGGAAACCCUGAUGCAGCAACGCCGCGUGAGUGAAGAAGUAUUUCGGUAUGUAAAGCUCUAUCAGCAGGGAAGAAGAUGACGGUACCUGACCAAGAAGCCCCGGCUAACUACGUGCCAGCAGCCGCGGUAAUACGUAGGGGGCAAGCGUUAUCCGGAUUUACUGGGUGUAAAGGGAGCGUAGACGGCUGUGCAAGCCAGAUGUGAAAGCCCGGGGCUCAACCCCGGGACUGCAUUUGGAACUGUGUGGCUGGAGUGUCGGAGAGGCAGGCGGAAUUCCUAGUGUAGCGGUGAAAUGCGUAGAUAUUAGGAGGAACACCAGUGGCGAAGGCGGCCUGCUGGACGAUGACUGACGUUGAGGCUCGAAAGCGUGGGGAGCAAACAGGAUUAGAUACCCCAGUA